rnacentral:sRNA from 1 species
AUGAAGCCAUCGGAAGUAGUGGACCCCGUCAGGGUCAAGAAGGAGCCGGUCUCACCCCGUGAGAAGGAUUCACACUCCACGAAGAAACCCACAUCGAAACACGGAUCGCAAAGCAGUACGAAACAUUCAUCCUCUUCAAGCAUCAUGAAGCGUGCCAAAGCAGAAGCUGCUCGUGCUCUCAUAAGGCUAGCUGAAGAGGAGGCAGCUCUCAGGAAAACGUUAUCUCAGCUUGAGGAACAGGACGAGAUUGACCAAGCAACUAUUAGAGCCUCAGCAGUGAGAAGGAGAUCCGAUUACAAUGCAGAUAUGGAUCUACUGACAGCCAAGAAAACAGCAGCUGCACUGGAUGCAGAAGCUAGAGUGUAUGAACAGGAAUCUGUUGGAGGUGACUUAAGUGAAUUUGAUAACAUUGAUGAUGAUAUUCAUCUACCAGAGGAAGACCCUCAUGAGAGGACUAGUGAAUAUGUGAACACUGUGCAUUUGGAAGGACAAAGUGAAACCAUGUGCCCAGACGCAUCCAUUGUUCCACAAAACGCUACACACAGACCACAAUCCGAACCACAGCCAGUAUCUCAUGCUACCCAUGAGAUGAACGACUCACGCCGAGCAAUUCUGACCAAUAACCCAGUAGAUACAUAUCGUGACCUUCCUGAAUCAGAUAUACGUCCGCAAACACCAGCUACAACAUAUGCAGAGAUGCCGCCUGUCACGCGUCCAAACAUUCCAAUAAGAUCAUUCGCUCGUCUCCCUUACCUGUUAAGACUCGAAUUACCACUGCAAGGACAGAAAUUUCCUCAGAUUCGAGGGACGACACCGUCUGUGCCAUUCACGGAACAAGCCAUCGACUAAGUGAGUGCCGCGCAUUCCAGACUAAACCAUUAGAAGCCCGGAAGGCC